rnacentral:rRNA from 1 species
AGUGAACGCUGGCGGUAGGCCUAACACAUGCAAGUCGAACGGCAGCACAGUAAGAGCUUGCUCUUACGGGUGGCGAGUGGCGGACGGGUGAGGAAUACAUCGGAAUCUACUUUUUCGUGGGGGAUAACGUAGGGAAACUUACGCUAAUACCGCAUACGACCUACGGGUGAAAGCAGGGGAUCUUCGGACCUUGCGCGAUUGAAUGAGCCGAUGUCGGAUUAGCUAGUUGGCGGGGUAAAGGCCCACCAAGGCGACGAUCCGUAGCUGGUCUGAGAGGAUGAUCAGCCACACUGGAACUGAGACACGGUCCAGACGCCUACGGGAGGCAGCAGUGGGGAAUAUUGGACAAUGGGCGCAAGCCUGAUCCAGCCAUACCGCGUGGGUGAAGGAGGCCUUCGGGUUGUAAAGCCCUUUUGUUGGGAAAGAAAAGCAGCAGGUUAAUACCCCGCUGUUCUGACGGUACCCAAAGAAUAAGCACCGGCUAACUUCGUG